UGUAUUUUUUUUCACUUAAUGAUAGAAAGUGCGGGUAGGAUUCUUUUAUUGUGAAUCAGACUAAAAUAAUUUUAGUUUGAGCGGUUAAAAUCAAAUAUGAUUUUGCCAUGAGAAUAAUGCCGAAACUGGCUAUGUAGUCAAACACUGUCGUCUGGCUAAAUUUAGAUCUACAAAUUUUUGUACACCUCGUUAGUACAUUAAAUCAUCUAGACUCUAAUUUGAAAUAUUAUUAAUUGAAAGAUGAAUGAAGAUUACUGCCAGUGAAGAACAUUUGUGAUGUAUGACCUGCCCAUAAGAUGCCACAUUUUCCUCCAUGAUGAACUGUGUACUAAUGAAGAUGAUUCUGGAAUGUUAUGAACAUUGACAUUGAAUAUGAGGAACUGUCAAGUCAAGAUGAAGAUGUCAAGAUUUUAUGUUUGUUGUCUUCCCCUUAAAUUGAAAAUGCCCUUGUAAGACUUGACAGUAGUGGAAAAAUAUUGCCAUAUUUUUUUUUCAAGGGGGGGAGGAAUCUGUUAGACACCUUAUUUAUAUAGGUUAGUUAUUUAGCGACGCACCAUAGAAGACGCAUAUUGAACGGGACUAGUGACGUUUGGGAUAUGUUGGGUUAGAGACCGGAAAAUCAGUUAGCGAUAGAAUACUCCAGGGUAACGACGUGUUUAGUGACAGAGACUUCUACUGUGGCCUUUUAUCAGAAUAAAUCUAUGUGAAAUUGUU